rnacentral:lncRNA from 1 species
GUAGCUUCUCGUGCCAAUCUUUAUAUGUCUCAGUCAUUUUCCAAAUAAUCUUCUUAAUAUUCUUGUUGGCUGCUUCAAUAGCUCCGUUCAUUUUCGGGCGAUAGGGUGACGAGUUAUGAUGCUUUAUUUGAAACUGCUCACACACUUCCUUCAUCAUCUUGUUGUUCAGAUUCAAUGCGUUAUCUGAAAUGAUUCUCUCAGGCAAACCAUAUCGACAAAUG